UUUUAGGUUACUCAGCAUCAGAACUACAAUGAAAGUAUAACUGAACAGGAGUUUGUCAACAGCAAUAGAGAUUGGAACUCUGCUAAGAUGUAUUUCAAAUGGGGAAGAUCCAGAGUUCGCAUUUUCCCACUACUGAGUAUAACAGCGAUUGUUUUGGUCUUCAACCUUUUAUGGAUUUUUUCUGGAUAUACCUUCUGUCAUCGGGAACCCAGUCUUUGUGACUGUCACAAAUGUCUAACAGACAGUGUUCCUUGGUUUAAUGACAUCAUCAGUGAAGCUCCUAAACCCUUUCUGUCACAGAAACAUAUACCUCCAGACGAAGAUUUCCUCUGGUGGAAGAACUUACAGGGGGCAAGACAUCAAAACUUGGCUUUCUACGAUAAAACUUUAGAAAGACUAUUUCAGACAAUUACCCCAAUUGCAGAUGUUGAAGAACCUCGCCCUGAUCACCGCAGGAGUUGCGCCGUGAUGUGGAAAUCUGGAAAUUUAAGAGGAUCGCAUUAUGGACCUCUGAUUUCCAUAACAUCGUAAUAAGAGAAAAUGGUGCUCCAAACUCAAAGAAGAUAGCUAACAAGGAUUUGGCUCGAAAGAUGCCACUUGCCACCAGUUUGGCCAUAUUUCAGAGCUGCAACAUCACUGGAGUGCCCAAAAGCACAAGGUGUGCAAUACUCAGAGACAUGGCCAAGGUAAGAAAGGCUGAAAGACGACCACCACUGAACAAGACACACAAGCUGAAACGUCAAGACUGGGCCAAGAAAUAUCUCAAGACUGAUUUUUCUAAGGUUUUAUGGACUGAUGAAAUGAGAGUGAGUCUUGAUGGGCCAGAUGGAUGGGCCCGUGGCUGGAUUGGUAAAGGGCAG
ensembl:lncRNA